GACCCGGUCCCCGAACAGUCUCCGUAUGGUGUGCGUUCCUGUCCAGGCGGCAGGAUAGGGCCCGGGUCGCCC
rnacentral:sRNA from 12 species